rnacentral:lncRNA from 1 species
ACAAUGAAUCCUUUCAGCUUUUUGCUAGAUGGUUUCAGUUCUUUUAUAUACUUAGGAUAUGUACGCUUACCUUUUCGUAUUUUUCUUGCUUUUAGAGGUACGCAGUCGCUCGACAGAGGGUCUCCCCCUUCAAUGAGUGAUGAAAGCGUGCUAUCUCGUUCUUCUUCAGAUAGAGAGGCCCUACACGGAUUUUGUCCACCCAUAUAAACUCGUCUCAUGAUCCGAGUUUUCACUACGUACCUUAGUUGCUACUACGUUCACUACGU